rnacentral:rRNA from 1 species
AUGGCUAGCGUCAGGAAAUUUGUAAAUGGUGGAGCAAAUCUGGAGGGCAACCUACCAUUGCUGCAGACGUGGUACUACGAGAAGUGGAGGGUGCACCAAUUAGACUCUACCAUCUCGUAUGCAUCAAGGUUAAGGCCGCUGAUCCAAAACUGGAGUGACGAGAAGGCACAGAAGGUUGACAACAUAAUCAACAAAAAUUAUAUAGGGGUUGGAGAGUAUGUCGAUGACCUGCUGCGGCCUUUCAAUCCGCCACCAGUUGGGACGCCGGUCAAACCAAAGAAUGACGGCCAGGAUAAGGCACUCAUGGGCCGUGUAUUGGCUGAUUUGAAAGAAGUUGUCUCCAUUGUGUGGGAGGCCAGUGCAUAA